ACCGCUGAAAGCAUCUAAGCGGGAAACUCGUUCCAAGAUGAGAUCUGCCGGGGCCUUGAGCCCCCUAAAGAGUCGUUCAAGACCAGGACGUUGAUAGGUCAGGUGUGGAAGCGCAGCAAUGCGUUAAGCUAACUGAUACUAAUUGCUCGUGAGGCUUGACCCU
rnacentral:rRNA from 1 species